rnacentral:rRNA from 1 species
UACGGAGGGAGCUAGCGUUGUUCGGAAUUACUGGGCGUAAAGCGCACGUAGGCGGCUUUGUAAGUUAGAGGUGAAAGCCCGGAGCUCAACUCCGGAACUGCCUUUAAGACUGCAUCGCUUGAAUCCAGGAGAGGUGAGUGGAAUUCCCAGUGUAGCGGUGAAAUGCGUAGAUAUUGGGAGGAACACCAGUGGCGAAGGCGGCUCACUGGACCGGAACUGACGCUGAGGAGCGAAAGCGUGGGGAGCGAACAGG